rnacentral:lncRNA from 1 species
AUGAGAGAGGAGGAUGGCAUUGGCCUUUCUCUACAUGUUGGAAACGUGUGUUUUCCCAUCUCCACGGACCCUACGUUUGACCAGGGUCCAUGUCCCUCUCCCACAGGCAGAGGAACAGUGGAAGGGCUGACGUCACCACAUCACUACCUCUGGAGGGCAUCAGCUACAGUAUCCCUGUGCUCUGCUCUUAUACAUAACCUUCAGGUCAGUAUCACUGUGCUCUGCUCUUAUACAUAACCUUCAGGUCGGUAUCACUGUGCUCUGCUCUUAUACAUAACCUUCAGGUCAGUAUCACUGUGCUCUGCUCUUAUACAUAACCUUCAGGUCAGUAUCACUGUGCUCUGGUCUUGUACAUAACCUUCAGGUCAGUAUCACUGUGCUCUGCUCUUAUACAUAACCUUCAGGUCAGUAUCCCUGUGCUCUGGUCUUGUACAUAACAUUCAGGUCAGUAUCACUGUGCUCUUGUCUUGUACAUAACAUUUAGGACUACAUGUGCUGUCAGGUAGGUGAGUACUCCCUUGUGUUAUAAACCCAGUUAUGAACCCGCCUUAAUUUGUAUAUUCUCUCUCAAAUAGCUGCCUAUUGAUGCACCAGUCCAUACUUUCAUGAACACUUCAACCUGUUAUUACAGUACACCCUAACAGUAAUGACAUUUGAAGACAGACAAAAGAACAAUCAAUAACCUUGGGGUCCAAUAGCAGACAGCCACCUCUUGAGAAUGUACAUAACUCUACACAGCCAUCUGACAAGAUCUGACUAGUCCACAAUCUCUCUUUUAAUGAGCAGAUCAUUGUGACUGUAUACAGGACCUUCUUAUUAAAGGAUUCACACCCCCCUUGACUUUUUCCACAAUUUGUUGUGUUACAGCCUGAAUUUAAAAUGGAUUACAUUUAGAUGGUGUGUCACUGGCCUAUACACAAUACCCCAUAAUUUCAACCAAAAGAAUAUUCCAGAACAUGCAUCCUCUUUGCAAUAAGGCACUAAAGUAAAAUGGCAAAGAAAUAUUAUUUUACGUCCUGAAUACAAACUAUUAUGUUUGGGUCAAAUCCAACACGUCACUGAGUACCACCCUUCAUAUUUUCAAGCAUGGUGGUGGCUGCAUCAUGUUAUGGGUAUGCUUGUCAUCGGCAAGUACUAAGGAGUUUCUUGGAAUGAAAAAGGGAAUAGAGGAAAACCUGGUUCAGUCUACUUUCCAACAGACACUGGGAGACAAAUUCAAACUUUCAGCAGUACAAUAAACUAAAACAAGGCCACGUAUACACAGGAGUUGGUUACCAAGACAACAUUGAAUGUUCCAGAGUGGCCUAGUUACAGUUUUGUCUUUAAAAAUCUAUAGUAAGACUAGAAAAAUGGCUGUCUAGCAAUGAUCAACAACCAACUUGACAGAGCUUGAAGAAUUUUUAAAUAUUAAUUUGCAAAUAUUGUACAAUCCAGGUGUCCAAAGCUCUUAGAGACUUGACCAGAAAGACGCAGAUGUAUUGACUCAGGGGUGUGAAUACUGACACUACUGUUCAAAAGUUUGGGGUC